UCUCUUCUCAUCCUGUAGCAGCCCAGGACGUUGAAACCAGGGAUGAGUGAGGCAUCCAGAGUGGCGUUUCCCCCAAGUGCUGCUGUGAUGGCUGUGGCUUCUUCUAGGGAAGCUUUCUCCAGCUGAAGAGAUCUGCCCACCUCAUCUCAGCCGUGGGCUGAGCUUGUAGGGCUGGUGGUGGUAGCUGAGACAACGUGAGCUUUCUGCAAAUGAAACCUGGAACGUGAGAAUCACAUCUUUACACUUUAACUGCCAGCCCCAGCAGUUAAAGUUUUAUGCAAAGCAAAUUGUGAGCUUGUGGGCAGGGCAGUGCCCCCGUGGAUUUGCUGGAUGUAACUGGGUGGUCCAAACCAGUGUGCUGCUUUGGGUGCAUGAGGAGCAGAGUCAGCAUCUGACCUAGUCCCAGAAGUCUGAAUGAACAGACGAGACUGAUGGCUGCCCUGCAAUCCUCUAACAGAGCCUUUGAGUGAUCCCAGUUCACUUGGCACAGCUGUUGGCACAAGAAGGCUGUUCCUGAGAAGGCACGGACAGACAGACAGACACUCUGCUUUGUGCUGUGUGGUUUUGCAGUGUCUCUGGGUGGCUGAUCGAGCAAGGGUUUCACUGCCCCUGCUGUAUUCUCAGUAAGGCGUUGCAGCAGUCUGAACUUAUCUUCCCUUUUGGAUCAUGUGUGGUAUCCUCCAUUAGUAACACUUUGCUCUGACAGGCGUCCUGCUGUGCAUUGCAGCAGUCAGGGGCUAAAUAAUUUAUUUGGGAAGCAAGUUUUGUACAUGGCUCGGAAAAGGGAAGAGAACAGGAAUAUUGCAACAGUGAACCGUGGGGUGGAUUUCAGUGGUAGCCUUGGAGAAAUACAUUGUGCCCUAUAGUUUCUGAGCAUUGCACUUUGCCAUCCAUUGUUUCAAAAUUGCUUUCUCUCCCAUAAUUAUCUUUACAAGAGGAGGCGGAUCCAAAGCAUUUGUUUGUGCCUUUUUUUUUCUUU